AGAGACCGAUAGCGAACAAGUACCGUGAGGGAAAGAUGAAAAGUACUUUGAAAAGAGAGUCAAACAGCGCGUGAAAUUGUUGAAAGGGAAACGAUUGAAGUCAGUCGUACCGAUGAGAAAUCAGCUAUCUUGAGUGCGAUUUUGUGGGUAAUGAAGAGCUUAACGGCCUUCUUAUUUGCAAAUUUGUGCUCUUAUGGUGUAUUUUUUCGUAUGGUAGGUCAACAUCAAUUUGA
rnacentral:rRNA from 1 species